UGGGGAAUUUUGGACAAUGGGGGCAACCCUGAUCCAGCCAUCCCGCGUGUGCGACGAAGGCCUUCGGGUUGUAAAGCACUUUUGGCAGGAAAGAAAUCGCAUGGGUUAAUACCUCGUGUGGAUGACGGUACCUGCAGAAUAAGCACCGGCUAACUACGUGCCAGCAGCCGCGGUAAUACGUAGGGUGCAAGCGUUAAUCGGAAUUACUGGGCGUAAAGCGUGCGCAGGCGGUUCGGAAAGAAAGAUGUGAAAUCCCAGGGCUUAACCUUGGAACUGCAUUUUUAACUACCGGGCUAGAGCGUGUCAGAGGGAGGUGGAAUUCCGCGUGUAGCAGUGAAAUGCGUAGAUAUGCGGAGGAACACCGAUGGCGAAGGCAGCCUCCUGGGGUAACACUGACGCUCAUGCACGAAAGCGUGGGGAGCAAACAGGAUUAGAUACCC
rnacentral:rRNA from 1 species